GACGAACGCUGGCGGCGUGCUUAACACAUGCAAGUCGAACGGAAAGGCCCUGCUUUUGUGGGGUGCUCGAGUGGCGAACGGGUGAGUAACACGUGAGUAACCUGCCCUUGACUUUGGGAUAACUUCAGGAAACUGGGGCUAAUACCGGAUAGGAGCUCCUGCUGCAUGGGGGGGGUUGGAAAGUUUCGGCGGUUGGGGAUGGACUCGCGGCUUAUCAGCUUGUUGGUGGGGUAGUGGCUUACCACGGCUUUGACGGGUAGCCGGCCUGAGAGGGUGACCGGCCACCUUGGGACUGCGAUACGGCCCAGACUCCUACGGGAGGCAGCAGUGGGGAAUAUUGCACAAUGGGCGGAAGCCUGAUGCAGCAACGCCGCGUGCGGGAUGACGGCCUUCGGGUUGUAAACCGCUUUCGCCUGUGACGAAGCGUGAGUGACGGUAAUGGGUAAAGAAGCACCGGCUAACUACGUG
rnacentral:rRNA from 1 species